rnacentral:rRNA from 1 species
UACGUAGGGUGCAAGCGUUAAUCGGAAUUACUGGGCGUAAAGCGUGCGCAGGCGGCCUCUUAAGUCAGAUGUGAAAUCCCCGGGCUUAACCUGGGAACUGCGUUUGAAACUGGGAGGCUAGAGUGUGGAAGAGGGGGGGUGGAAUUCCAGGUGUAGCAGUGAAAUGCGUAGAGAUCUGGAGGAACACCGAUGGCGAAGGCAGCCCCCUGGGCUAACACUGACGCUCAUGCACGAAAGCGUGGGGAGCAAACAGG